rnacentral:lncRNA from 1 species
CCAUAUGAACUAACGCCAGUGCUGCACACAGUGUGUGUUUACAUUAAAAAGCCUGCAGGGACCAGCCAUAGACACCAGAACCACUUCAUUAAGCUAUAGUGUCCCUUUAAUGUGAGGUACAUUAUAGAUUAGUGUCACUAAUAAUAUACUAGAUUGCUUACUUACAAGCAGAUGAGGAUGAUGAUGGGCUGCAGUUUGGCUCCACUGGUCUGGUGUAGAACAG